AAUAAAAAUAAACACAAAACAAAAGGAAAAAUAAUGCCUACGGAUUUCUUGUUCUGUACUUUCAUUUCCUUUUGCUUUUCUUUCGCCUUUAUUUCAUGACCAACUUCAGAGAUCCGAAGGAGAAUAAUUAAGUUGCUGAUUUAAUCUGGGUGCGUUCGGUAGCCUGUGAGGAACAAUUAACAUCAAGUUAACCCACAACUCCCAUUUCUCUGGAUUCUUGCUCUUAGAGCCUAAAUCCUUUCAUGGGUUUGUUAAAUGAUCUUGGCGCUUUCUAGGGAAACCUCAAAGAUCUCAUCUUGCCCAUUAAAGCCCCCACAAUUCUUCAGAAAAUGGUGAUGAAAGAAGAGAAAUCGUUCGAAGACAUAGAAGCCGGGCCCCACCUCGCUUCUCAAGCCGCCGGCGAGAGCGAAAGCAGUCUCUACUUCUCCGACGCCGAUGAUGGGUCAUGGCAAUCUCCGUACAACUCAUACUGUGAUGAUUUCCGAUGUUCUAGGGCUUCGAGUGAUGAAAUUGAUGGGUUUGAUGAUGAGCCCUGCAGGAGCUCGUGCAUCUCAUCAGAAUGUUCAUUUGAGGUUGAUUUGGAGGGCGGGAGUCCAGAUACGGUUGUGAAUUUGGAGAGAAAUGAGAAGGAUUGCAGAAUUUGUCACCUAGGGUUAGAGAGCAAUGCGGCUGAAUCGGGGGUCGCAAUUGUUUUGGGGUGUUCUUGCAAAGAUGAUUUGGCUGCUGCACAUAAGCAAUGUGCUGAGACUUGGUUCAAGAUAAGAGGAAACAAGUGUCCGCACGCAACUCGAGGUGAAGAGAAGACGAUGAACGUCAUCAUCCGAGUCAUGAAGGAUUAUUCGAUUGGCCGCUGCGCACAUCAAUCAGCUCGCGCACGUCAGUCAACGCGCGCACGUCAGUCAACGCGCACUCGUCAGUCAGCUCGCGCACGUCAAUCAGCUCGCGCGCGUCGGUCAACUCAAAGUGACCGAACUUACUUGUCAGGCGGCUCCAAGUGCCUAACGGGCUUGUCAGGCAGCUCCAAGUGCCCGCCGCCCUUGUCAGGCAGUUCCAAGUACUUGACGGGCUUGUCAGGCAGCUCCAAGUGCCUGACGGGCUUGUCAGACAGCUCCAAGUGCCCGCCGCCCUUGUCAGGCAGCUCCAAGUACCCGCCACGUUUGUUGGUCAGAUCCAAAGUGCCCGACGCGUUUGUCGGUCAGAUCCAAAGUGCCCGACGCGUAUGUCGAUCGGUUCCAAGUGCCGUAAAGAAGCUAACGAGCGCAUGAAGUAAGUUAGCAAAUCGUACAAGUCAACAAGAUGAUCAAAUACGUAAAACGACAGAAAAUACAAGUUCCGGAAAGUCGAGAAAACAACGAGAAAUUCAGCAAAAGGCCAAACCCCCGCGCCCCCUGCGGGUCAGCAGCGCCCGUCACGCAGAUCCGAGCCCCAAACACGUUUUUGACGGUUUUGAGCGGUUUUCUCAGGAUUUAUCUAUUCCAGGGGUUCCCAACUGACUUGAUAUCAUCCACAAACAUGGCCUAGGGGUUCAUUUCACGGGGAGGAGAUAAAGAGGGCGAAACGUUGUCGAAUUGAAGAGUGGAGCCACGAAUUUACAGCGAGGGUUAGCAGAUCUUAGCGAGUUCUUAUGCAUAAAGAGUGG